AUGGCGGCAGAGAAUGCUGCAGUAAUGAGUCCUACAACUCGGAAAUUAGUUAGCCUUUUAGCACUUUGGGUUCCCUCGUCUCGAGAGCAUUUUGAAAUAAUUGGCAUGUGGUUAACUCAAGCUCAAGAUAUGUACGACAUAUACCUGUUAUAUAUAGAGACUAUGGUCAGUACAUAUCCCAGUCGAGGUUUCUUUAAAUCAGUUAGGAUAUUGCAAUAUUCUACGCACGCGCAGACUUGUGUGUGAAAACCAGAAGGAACCAGAAGCAAGUAAACCAGUAAAUUACAAUGAUUUAUCGUCUCUGUGUAAGAUCUGCUGUAAGUUUGAGAAGUUUUAGACCGAAUAUUGUUACACAGAUAGAGCGGCGCCUUUCACGAAUAACUCAGUACGUAGGUGGUGUGCGUAGCGGGAGAGAGAGCGGUGAGGCUGGCGAUCGGAGCAGAAGUUAGCUAGUUAGCUUAGCUAGUAGUUAGCAUUAUAGCUGUGAACCUACAGUUUUCAUGUUUGUGCACUUUAGGCUGUUUGUCAGUAAAUAAAUUCCCUCCUCACGACCCAUGUUCCCGCAUCUCCCCCGUGCUUGCCAACUACAGUCCUGAGUCCAGACUACGAGCCAGGGAAGGUUAACAACAUUCAGACAGCCAGGAAGGAGAAAGGUGAAGUUUUCCAGGCAGAGAGCAGCAAGAUCAUGAGACAGGACAGGCCCUGAAUUUAAUUUGCUACUACUACUGUCAUGAAAAGUUGCAACCAUAUGGAUCAUUAUCACCGUCUACUGCUGAGUCCUGGUGUUCCUGUUAUCAAUCCAGUGUCAUUUAGAACAAAUUGAGUUUCUGGUAUGGAUCGGGAAAUGACACACCAUUGGAGAAGAAGUCGCUUUCAUCUUCCUGCAGUAUCCCAUUACCAUCCCUGGCUCCAUGUUUUGUCAGCGAUCAGUAACUAAAAUACUCAUAUACACUGCUCUUAAUCAUACUGGUCUCCAAACAGUCCCUGACCUCAGCAAAGCAGGACACUUCUUCCUGUGUGCACAGAGAAGUCAAUUGCAGGUUACCGGUCUGGAGGUAAGUCUGACAGCGUCAGAAAUUUUAAGUUCCCUUUCUUAUCAGAGAUCCUACAUUGAUGUGAUUGGUAAGAGGAUUUACUUGCAUGGAAAAAGUACAGAAAUUAACAGGUAAAACACUGCUUGAGACCUUUUAUGACUUUGGUUGGGAUGAGGAAUUACUUAUGAGGAAAAACUGAACUAAAUUGAAACAUUAACAGAGAUUCAGAGAGCAGCAGGAGAUAUCGGACACACCAGACUCUUAUGUGCAUACCAAAUGGACACCACAACCCUGGUCGAAAAAGCUUGCACAACGACAAGUAUAAGAUACUAGUAUAUAAAUAUUCGUCAUUCCCUCACAAUCAAAAGCCCUACUCCACUACUUCAAGUAAUUCACGUUACUUCAAGACAAAAUUUCAUCAGAGAAAAUAAAGGAGUUUGUGGAUAUCUUGCUGGACUCUCUCUCUUCCCCUAGUGGUAAGGAGGGACCUUUUCACCCACGUUCAGUGACUAAAUUGUGAACUGAUGAUGGUUGCCUGGCUCCCGUGGCAGCUAGCUGCAGCUUGUUGCCUGGCCUUGGCUAGCUGGCUCCCCCACUCCAGCAGACUAAUUGUAUGAGUUGAUGAUUUCAGAAAUUAGUUAAGCAAAGCUCAAAAAUGUGAAAUAACACUUGUAUUGAACCCAAUGAAAACAGGCUAAAUAGGUCUCGCACAGAGAGAGAAAACCUUGAAGACAACAUAGUACAAAUAUCUUGAAUAAAACCACUGAAUGUAAUACAUUUUCUCUCUCUCUUUCUCUCUCUUUGCAUACAAUAGAAUAGUUUGUAUGAUUUUGUCACCUAUUUGCAAAAAUGUGCCCAUGAUUUCAAACAAUGAAUUCAAAUAGUGGAGAAAAAUUGUAAUAUGGAAGAAUAAAUGAAUCAGUCUACAGUUAAAAUGUAAUCAGGAGAAUAUUCCUGAUAAGAUGGUUAUUAAUCUUUUUUUCCUUGUUUGUGGGGACAGUCUGUGAGAAAGCCAUCCCAUGAGGCACAGAUGGUCUCCUCUUUGGACAAAGCAUAUUACUAUAUAUGCAGUGUGUGAUAUUGAAAGGGAUUUGUUGGUAUAGGGUAUUUACUGAAAUAAAUUCAGUCAUAAUGCCACAGUGUGACCUGACCCAAUACCAAUGUUGGGCCACUUCUUUCAGUAUCAUGCAGUUUCCUCUUUGAGAGCUCUCUCAGCUGUAACGUAGAGUUAGUUUCUUCUUUGAGAAAGUUUAUGUUUCUGAAAAGACUGUCUACGCAGCUUUUGUUGUGAUGCUUUUUGACCCUGUUACUGAGCACAAUUAGCACAAUUGUAAAAAAAAAAAAAAAAAAAAAAAAAGGUAGGCCUACUAGUAACAUGUAUAGUUGUACUGCAUUGGUUGUUUCCAUACAUGUAUUUGUACAUCAGAGGUUUGAGUAUAAUUGAAGCUCAUGUAAAUAGCCUCUGCCAUAACAGAGAAACAUUUGCAACAACCUGGAAAGUUUAUUCCAAAGGUUGCAAAUAAACAUUCAAACAACAAAUGUUGUCACAGUUGUUGACACAACUUUCGGGUUGCCAGGUUAUGGAAAAUCCACCUCCAGUAUUAUGUUUGUCUUUUUAGUUCUUUAAUUCAUUGGGGUGACCUCUCCAAGCUCCAAAUGUCUACUGGAAAAGGGCUGCAGGACAUUUGAACCAAAAUCAAUUUGUAAACGUCUUGUUAAGAGAACACAACUGCAGACUGUUUAUAAUCUUACAAAGUUUUCAAUAAAAUUAAAAAACAAACAAAAACAAACUAUACAUUAUCAGCUUUACUGCUUACUUUUUGCUGUGUCUCAAAACAACUGCACUAAAACAACACGCAGCUAUGAUCUGCAUGGCAAAGAGUGCAUUUUACUGUGAUUACGAAGACAGCUCUUUAAAUUCCGCUGUCACUUCUUUUUUUUUCUUUUUUUUUUUUCAAUGUCUGCCACGGACAGUUAUGCUCUGUAAAGCUCAACGGUGAGCACUGCACAGGUUCCGGGUUGUAAACCAAUAGAGAACAACGCGAAAUGAACUUGAAGUUCACCGAUUUUGUCUUCAAAAUAAAAGCACCAAACUCUUUUAUGCUUGGUGUU